rnacentral:tRNA from 1 species
GGGUCCGAGGCCCAACCGGACGGGCAGUCGGCUCUUAACCGACAGGCUGCGAGUUCGACUCUCGCCGGACCCUCCA